UUGGCAGCUAGUGGCUUUCUCCAGACAGCUCUUGAUUUUGUUUGGACUGUCCAUAGAUUUCCUUCCUCUUCCAAUUUCCUAUCUUGAAUAAUUGCAGGAGCAUCUACUUUGAGAGCAAUAGAGGCAAUUGUUACUUAACCUGAAAUCAGACAUUGCAGUAAAUCUUCUAAACCAUAUCAAGAGUCUACCAAGGAGAAGUGUCGUUCACAAAUAGCUCAAGGUGCAAGGCUUUGAAAUUGAAUAAGAUGCAUUCACCUGGUUGCAAGGCUGAUAUGCUCCAUUUAGAUAAUGCUUUCCAAAGUGGAACAUGGAAAGACAAUUAUGCUCAGAACAAAAAGGCGUCUAAGUUGUGCAACCUUCUUCUAAAAGCUGUAUGGAAUGCUCCUGCAUUAGGUGGCUCAUCAUGCAUUAUAUAUCCAUAUUGUUUACAAUAAAAUCAUAUUCGCUGACGAGAAGAGGAUUACAUUAGUGACCUGUAAGUAUCCAUCAUGGGUACCAUUGAGUUUUUAUGUUUAAAGUUUUAUUUAUGAUAGACAACCUAUUUUGUUUUAUUUAUGACGAGAGAGAUGCACUUAUUAUGCCUAAGAAUUCUGGAAUUCUUCCAAUGGUCCUAGUAGCCAUUAUUCUUGUUGGCCAGCAAGAGAUACAACAACAAAUUCCAAGGAUUCACAAGAUGACCUCUUCUGGUCCAAGAUAUCAAGAGAUGAAUACAUGAGAUAUGCAUUCGAGGAGUGUUAUAUAUAUAUCAUAGUAUUAAAGUUAUUUUGAUGUUGGUACUUGGACAUCUGUUAACUUUUUUUUAGGUGGAGAGAAUCUACAAGGGUAUACAUAUUAGUAAAAAGAAACAUACAAGCUUCAGGUUAACCAAGUUACAGUUCGUGACGUCCAGAAUUUUUUGCUUUAACUGCUUGAGCUGUGUAAAAAGAGACAAAUUUAUCUAGUGGUGACAACAUCCAAAAUGGAGACAACAUCCAAAAUGGAGAAGUAGUGACAAAGUGCAAGUGGUAGCGACAUUCCAAGAUAGUUGUACAAGCAUCAAAUCUAGAGGAGGGCACUUUGAUAGCUCAUUCAUAAGGUUGUUUACUGCUAGCAUGCUUAGUGGGGAGAAACUUACCCAAACAUUGCCCCCCUGCUACGAAAAGUACUACUGCAAAGCCAUGUAUGAAAACAACAGAUGGGGUGGGACAAUUCAAGGAUUUUGUUGAGAUUGGAAGAUGUUGAGGUAAUUUGUC